CAGAUCAUUCCGUCGUCGAUUAAGCAUUCCGUCGCCGAUGAGCAUUCCGUUGCCGAUUUGAGAGCAUUCCAUCGCCGAUUUGAGCAUAUUGUCGCUGCUUAUUGAAAUGCCUUUCUGAUAGGAACCUUUUAAGCGCGAGCUAGGGAGCAAGAAGCGUGAGCUAAGCAAGAAGAGGUCCAAAAGAUUAUUCUUAAUUUUUUGAGGAGCAAGGGUUAUGAUGACGCUUUUACCUAUGGGGGUGGUUCAUCUUCAAGUUAAAUCACUUAUUGAUUUCUUAUUGGUGGCUUUAGAAGAUUUACUUUUGGCAUUAUUUGAAGACAUAUGAGGAUAUCUUCCACUGGUUCUAAUUAUAUUAUGC